rnacentral:rRNA from 1 species
GACGAACGCUGGCGGCGUGCUUAACACAUGCAAGUCGAACGGAAAGGCCCUGCUUUUGUGGGGUGCUCGAGUGGCGAACGGGUGAGUAACACGUGAGUAACCUGCCCUUGACUUUGGGAUAACUUCAGGAAACUGGGGCUAAUACCGGAUAGGAGCUCCUGCUGCAUGGCGGGGGUUGGAAAGUUUCGGCGGUUGGGGAUGGACUCGCGGCUUAUCAGCUUGUUGGUGGGGUAGUGGCUUACCAAGGCUUUGACGGGUAGCCGGCCUGAGAGGGUGACCGGCCACAUUGGGACUGAGAUACGGCCCAGACUCCUACGGGAGGCAGCAGUGGGGAAUAUUGCACAAUGGGCGGAAGCCUGAUGCAGCAACGCCGCGUGCGGGAUGACGGCCUUCGGGUUGUAAACCGCUUUCGCCUGUGACGAAGCGUGAGUGACGGUAAUGGGUAAAGAAGCACCGGCUAACUACGUGCCAGCAGCCGCGGUGAUACGUAGGGUGCGAGCGUUGUCCGGAUUUAUUGGGCGUAAAGGGCUCGUAGGUGGUUGAUCGCGUCGGAAGUGUAAUCUUGGGGCUUAACCCUGAGCGUGCUUUCGAUACGGGUUGACUUGAGGAAGGUAGGGGAGAAUGGAAUUCCUGGUGGAGCGGUGGAAUGCGCAGAUAUCAGGAGGAACACCAGUGGCGAAGGCGGUUCUCUGGGCCUUUCCUGACGCUGAGGAGCGAAAGCGUGGGGAGCGAACAGGCUUAGAUACCCUGGUAGUCCACGCUGUAAACGGUGGGUACUAGGUGUGGGGUCCAUUCCACGGGUUCCGUGCCGUAGCUAACGCUUUAAGUACCCCGCCUGGGGAGUACGGCCGCAAGGCUAAAACUCAAAGGAAUUGACGGGGCCCCGCACAAGCGGCGGAGCAUGCGGAUUAAUUCGAUGCAACGCGUAGAACCUUACCUGGGUUUGACAUGGAUCGGGAGUGCUCAGAGAUGGGUGUGCCUCUUUUGGGGUCGGUUCACAGGUGGUGCAUGGCUGUCGUCAGCUCGUGUCGUGAGACGUUGGGUUAAGUCCCGCAACGGGCGCAACCCUUGUUCACUGUUGCCAGCACGUUAUGGUGGGGACUCAGUGGAGACCGCCGGGGUCAACUCGGAGGAAGGUGGGGAUGACGUCAAGUCAUCAUGCCCCUUAUGUCCAGGGCUUCACGCAUGCUACAAUGGCUGGUACAGAGAGUGGCGAGCCUGUGAGGGUGAGCGAAUCUCGGAAAGCCGGUCUCAGUUCGGAUUGGGGUCUGCAACUCGACCUCAUGAAGUCGGAGUCGCUAGUAAUCGCAGAUCAGCAACGCUGCGGUGAAUACGUUCCCGGG